AUUUUAGGGCCGCACUUGAGGCAUAUGGAGGUUCCCAGGCUAGGGUCUAAUUGGAGCUGUAGCCGCUGGUGGACCUACACCACAGCUCAUGGCAAUGCCAGAUCCUUAACCCACUGAGUAAGGCCAGGGAUAGAACCUGCCACCUCAUGGUUCCUAGUUGGAUUCAUUUCUGCUGCACCACAAUGGGAACUUUUGAACAGGGAUUUUAAAUGAGCAUGACAAAUAUUCUCAUAUUUCAUCUCAAAUAUCUUAAAUCUGGAAGAAGCAGGUUAAAAACUAAAGAUAAUGGAUAUAAAAAUAUUCAGCAAAUGGGCAUAACAGAAUGAAUAUACCAGAAGAACAAAUGAAUAAGCUAGAAUAUUAGGUCAAAAAGGCUGAUAUAUCAGAUCAGGAGGGGGGAAAAAGUUGGAAAGAAAAAAGUUAAAUAUAUGAAAGACAAGAGUGUAAGUGUAUAUGAAUUUAACAGUCUUCCAGGAAUGAAAGGGAAGAAAUUUUUAAGAAGUAAUAAGUGAUAAUUUUCUCUAAUUAAAUACAGAUAUAAGUCCUUAUAAUGAAAGAAUGCCAAACAGGCUGUACAAUAAAAACACAACAAACAAAACCCCUUACCUAAAAAUGCUAAAAUGAAAUCAAAUAAUAUUAAAGAAAGAAUUUUAGAAGCUUUGAGAAAGUACAUGCAGAUUACUUGCAAAGGAACAAGCGUCAAACCAAUUCAAAUUUCUCUAGUGGCAAUACUGAAUGUAAAAAGACAAAAGCAUAUUGUGUUUAAAGUUUUGAAGGAAAAAGUUAAACUCAGAAUUUUAUUUUUAGCUAAAUUAUUAUUUAUAUGUAAAGCUGGGUCAAAUAUCUACAGGUAUAUCAAGGACUCAGAAUCAUUACUACACAAGAUCCUUUCUGAAUGCACUCAACAAGAAAAGAAAUGAAUGAAGACUGUUUCUUGGUGUCUAAAUAAGCAACGAUCAAUGUGUUCAAACAUAUUCUCAAAACUCUGAAACUAAAGCUCUAGUUGUGGGUGAAGGAGACAGACCAGAAGGAAAGUGGAGCAAAAUUUAAAGGCAGUUUAUUUUGUUGAUGAGAAGACAUAAAACACAUAGAAACUGAGAUAAGUUCUAGGAUCUGAUAAAUGUACCAUCAUAAUAAGAUGUUAAUAUUAGAGGAAGCUGAGUGAGAAGUAUAUAGGAACUCUGUGCAACACUUCUAUAAAUCUAAAAUUAUUUCAAAAUAGAACUGCUAAAGAGAAAAAUACUAAAAUAUUUAGAUGACAAAUCCUACAAUAACUAUAAUAAUUUUGAAUUUGUUAAAUAAACACCAAAAGCAGAGACCCUCAAAUUGAAUUUUAAAAUAUUAAAAUCCAGCAAUAUGUUGUCUGCAAGAUGUACUUGUCAAAAAAAAAUACGAAAAAUGUUGAAGAUAAAAGAGAAAGUAUACCAGGCAAAUAUAAUCAACAACAGCAAGAGCUAAAGGAGCAAUUUUAAUAUGAGAUACAACAGAUCAUAAGGAAAAAAAUCAUAAGGGACAAAGAGAAACAUACUGACUAGUAAAAGCAAAAAGAUAUAACAAUCAUGAAUAUAUAUGUUGCUAACAAUUAUGCCAUAAAAUACAUAAAGCAACAGGUGACAGAAUUACAGAAAGAAAGAAAUCAACAGUUAUAGCUGAAGAUUUUAAUAAAUUCCUCUAUGAAACUGAUAUAGCAGCCAAAAGAAAAAAAAAACACCAAUAAAGCCAAACCCCCCCAAGCCCCCAAAAUAUAGAUAUGAACUAAUUUAACAUGCUUGAGCUAAUAGUUUGGAGAAGGUUACAGAAUAUACAUUAUUUUAAAGCAUAAAUGGAACAAUUACAAAAAUUGUCUAUACCAAACUACAAAGCAAAUUUCAGUUCAUUCCUGAAAAUUGAUAUUAUAUUCUCUAAACAGUAUGUAUUAAAAUAAAAAGUCUAUAACAAUGAGUGGCUGAAAAUAUCCCAUAUAUUUGGUAACUAAAAACAAAUCCCACAUUGCUAAAAAUUCUUGGCUUAAAAGGUAAAUGAAUGUCAACUAAAACUCUGCAUGUUAAAUCAAGAAUUUGGAGCAAAUUAUAACAAAGUUUGAUAAUGAUUCAUCUCAAGAAGGUAGAAAAAGAAGCUGCAGAAUAUAUAUUCAAAGAAAUGAAAAUUAAGUAAUACAGAUUGGGACAGAAAUCAAUCAGAGAUCAACAAAAAUAAUAAAGAUGAAUCAAAAGCUGGUAUUUUGGAAAGGCUGAUAAGAUAAACAAAUACAGAGCAAGAAGCAGGGAAUAAGUAUGAAUAUAUGCUUAUAACAUUUAAUUUUAAUAAGCUUACAUUUAUAAACAUAACUAUCCUAAUAAAUUUAAAGACCUAGACAAAAUGUUUCUGAAAAAAAAUGUUAAAAUAGCAAAAGAUGAAGCAGAACACUUGUAUAGAUGAAGAAUCACGUUUGAAAGGAUGAAAAAUUAAACUGAAAUAGUAAUUUAAUAGUCUUACUAUUUCUAAAUUUCUAAAAGGUCUCAGUCCAAACAGCACUACAAGCAAGUUCUUCCAAAGAACAGACUAUACUUUUAUUAUAUAUAUUGUUCUGAAAACCAGAAAUAGAGUGAAAGUUACCUACUCAUUUUGAUAUAUAUAAAGUAACCUUGAUAACUAAACUGAUUAAGAACAGUCCAAGAAGAGAGAAUUAUAGGCCGAUUGCACUUAAAAACAUGACAGUAAACCACUAAAUAAAAUGUUGGCUGAUAAGUCUAAAACUGUAUUGAAAAAGGAAACACAUAUAAUCAUUAGCUUGAGUUUAUAAUGUAGGAAUGAGUUAACACUAGAAAAUCUAUGAGUGUAAUUCACUUCAUGAAUGGGCAAAGAGAAAAAUCCCAUGAUCAUUUUACUAUGUUCAGAGACACUUAAUAAAUCUCAAAACCUAUUUGUGAUUAAAAAGGGAAAAAAUACAUACAACCUCUCAGGAGACUAGAAAUAGAAGGAAACUUUAUUCAUUUAUUUAUGGCUUUAUUUAUUUAUUUAUGGCUACACAUGUGGCGUGUGGAAGUUCUGGGGCCAGGGAUCAAACCUGGACCACAGCAGUGACCGGAGCCACUGCAGCAACAAUGCUGGAUCCUUAAUCUGCUGAGCCACCAGAACUCCAGAAACUUUAUUACUGAACGCUAACUCCCUUAAACCGACCACAAACCUCAUGUCUAACAAAGAAACUCAAAAUGCUUUUUCUUUGAGAGAAGAAUGCUGGCUGUUAACACUAAUUUUCCAUGUGUUAUUGGAGAUCUUGAGCAAUAAAAGACAAAGAAAAAAGAGGUGUAGUGAUGGAAGAAAAUGCAUAGAAAUACAUGGAAAAAAAACAAAGACGAAUUAACAGACCAACUAUUGAUAGAAUAAGGUUCAGCAAGGCUUAGCAAGGCUGACAGAUUUAAAAAAAACAGUAUGCAAUAUCAUUAUCAUUCUUUUGCCCCACCAAUAACCAACUAAAGAUAUUUUAGGAAAUAAGAAUGUAUAAACUAUACAUAUUUAGAAAUUAAUACAAUAAAAAUGCUGACUUUUAUGGAGAAAAACUAAAGACUCGCUAAGAUAACAUAAAAGGAGACAAAUUAACCUCUAAAUUCAAUUCCAAUUAAAACUCUAUAGGACUUUGGAGUUCCCAUCGUGGUGCAGCAGAAACAAAUCCGACUAGGAACCAUCAGGUUGUGAGUUCGAUCCCUGGCUUUGCUUGGUGGGUUAAGGAUCCGGUGUUGCCAUGAGCUAUGGUGGAGGUUGCAGAUGCAGCUCAGAUCUGGUGUUGCUGUGGCUCUGGUGUAGGCCAGUGGUUACAGCUCUGAUUUGAUCCCUCCCUGGGAACCUCCAUGUGCUGAGGGUGUGUCCCUAAAAGGAUAAAAGCCAAAAAACAAACAAACAAACAAAACCAAACCUCUAUAGGACUUUAAGAGAACUUAACAAACUGAUUCCAAGACUAAGACAGAAAAAUGGAGGUCUAUGAAUACUAAAAUAAUUUUCAAAAUGAGCAGCACCUGUAAUUAAGGGGAGAUUCUCCUGUAAUUAAGACAGUAUUUUGCUCAGUAAUAAAAAUACAAGGUGAAUCAAACACUAGUAAAGCAACAAAUAGAACAGGUAAGCAAAUUUGAGAGUCCACGAAUACAUCCCUUGCAUAUGUGGAAACUUGGCAAUUGAAAAAGGUGGCAUCACAAAUCAGUAAAGAAUAAUAAUUUAGUAUGGUACUGAGACAAUAAGCUCAUUACACAGAAAAGAAUAAAUCUUGAUUCCUACUUUUAAUCAUAUACAAAAAUAAAUUACAAAGAAAUAUAAAGCGGUUAACAAUAAAAGAACUUUUUUAAUGGUAUUAAUGUAAGAAAGAACUUCUUAAACAAGAUCCAAGAAAGUAUGGGUGAAAAUGGAAAAAUAAAAUGGAUAGAUUUAACCUAAAAAUGAAAGACCGCUGUUCAAUGAAGGAAACUAGAGACAAUGCUUCAGAGGGUAUUUGCAAAUAUAAAAGAAAACAGAUAAGGAAUUACUACCUAGAAUAUACGUUGACCUUCCACAAAUCAGUUAAAAAAAAAAAAAAAAAAAAGAAAGAAAGAAAGCUUGUAACACAAUGUGAAGAGCAGUCCAUAGAAAGGGAAACCUGAAUGGCUAUUAAGUGUAUGAAGAGAUUUUCAAGCUUAUUAGUAAAUAAAAAGUGUUGGUUAAAAUGAACAGUAAAAUUCAUUGUUUUAUCAUUUUAGAACAAGUCAGAUAUUAUCAAGGGCCAUCAAGGCUAGGAGAAAACUGGAACCCUCAUGCACUACCGGUGGAAGCAUAAAUGGUGUAGCUAUUUUGAUGUAUAAUCUGGUAGUGUUUGGUAAAAUUAAGUAUUAUCCCCUAAGACCUAAUACUUUCCAAUACACACCCCAGAGUAAUUUUUGCACAAGUCCAUAAGAGAUAGGUCAUCACGUAAUUAUUUACUGUAGUAAGGCUAUGGAAGGAACACAAGACGAAUGAAAAGGUAAAUUGUGGCAUAUGUAUGAGAUGGAAGAAAUAAACAGAAAUAGUGAAUUAGAGUGAAAAAGUAACAAAAAGUUUUAAAAGGGAAUGAAAUAUAAUUCAUUUACAGACACUAAAAAUAAACAUUGUAUAUUUUUUCAACAUUCAUGCAUAUCUAAACACAUGGCAAGUAAAUUGAGAGAACAUGAUAGUGUGCCAUAUGCAAAGAGUUAUUAUUUUCUCAAUUCUGAAUACUUGAGAUUAAAAAGAAUUACUCAACUGAGAAAACUGGAGGCCAGAGAGGUAAAGUGGCAAGGUUUCAACUCUUGGGCAGCAGAGGAAU
rnacentral:lncRNA from 1 species